GGGGGGGAGAAGAGAGAAAGAGAGAAGAAGGAACCGUUUCUGCCCAGCUACAUACAGGGGGAAUUGCAACCGGCUGGUUAUUUUUAGCAUCUGAAGUUAUCUCAUUGCAAGCUUGAGACUCUGUGGUUGCAGAUGCUGGUGCAUAAGGACUGUGUGCAUUGUGGGGGUGGGGGCUGCUUAUAUGUAUUUUUGGGGGUGCUUCUCCCCCCUUCCUCUUGCCACUUCUUCGAGCAAAGAAAUCGCCAGCAGACUGACGGGUCAGAAAAUCAGCGUACCGAGAGCUAACAGAAACUCCGGAAGAAAAAUCCUGACGUUUGGCCGAAAUGCGUUUAAGCCGUAGACUAUGGUUAAUGCCAUAAUUGUCCAGGCUUCCCAAGAGCAUGAAGCAGACUCCGUGUCCCGACAAAAACCGCUUUUGAUUAAGUUACUGUGAAUUCCUCUCAGUCACAUCCAGCAAAGUCUUUCAAGGGGAGAAUUGACAGUCACGGACCUUAUCUGGCUUGGAGAGCUGCCAGGCCGAUAUCUUCAAAACUUGGCAAGGAGUCUCAGAGAGUCACGAACCAACAAAAGAAGUUUCCAUGCCCUGAUAAAUGAAGUUGUUGAUUUUUCUCUAAUCAAGUCAAUUUUUGUCAUCCCUGCCAGUUUUGACAUCUUCAGCAACCAUUCUUCCAUUGCUCUGAAGCCCUUGAAAAUCGCACCGUCAAUGAAGGAAGAAACCGCCUUGGAUUUUGAAGUGUGGGCGAGGUCCUGAUUCUGUCCCAACAUGCGUAAAGGGGCGCCCAAGGAUCCGGAUAUCGCCGAGCUCUUCUACAAAGAUGAUCCUCAGGGAGCUUUUGUGGGUUUACAUGAAAUCGGGCAUGGAAG